AGUGAACGCUGGCGGUAGGCCUAACACAUGCAAGUCGAACGGCAGCACAGGAGAGCUUGCUCUCUGGGUGGCGAGUGGCGGACGGGUGAGGAAUACAUCGGAAUCUACUUUUUCGUGGGGGAUAACGUAGGGAAACUUACGCUAAUACCGCAUACGACCUACGGGUGAAAGCAGGGGACCUUCGGGCCUUGCGCGAUUGAAUGAGCCGAUGUCGGAUUAGCUAGUUGGCGGGGUAAAGGCCCACCAAGGGGACGAUCCGUAGCUGGUCUGAGAGGAUGAUCAGCCACACUGGAACUGAGACACGGGCCAGACUCCUACGGGAGGCAGCAGUGGGGAAUAUAGGACAAUGGGCGCAAGCCUGAUCCAGCCAUACCGCGUGGGUGAAGAAGGCCUUCGGGUUGUAAAGCCCUUUUGUUGGGAAAGAAAUCCAGCUGGCUAAUACCCGGUUGGGAUGACGGUACCCAAAGAAUAAGCACCGGCUAACUUCGUGCCAGCAGCCGCCGUAA
rnacentral:rRNA from 1 species